UACGUAGGGGGCUAGCGUUGUCCGGAAUCAUUGGGCGUAAAGAGCGUGUAGGCGGCCCGGUAAGUCCGCUGUGAAAGUCGGGGGCUCAACCCUCGAAUGCCGGUGGAUACUGUCGGGCUAGAGUGCGGAAGAGGCGAGUGGAAUUCCUGGUGUAGCGGUGAAAUGCGCAGAUAUCAGGAGGAACACCGAUGGCGAAGGCAGAUCUCUGGGCCGUAACUGACGCUGAGGAGCGAAAGCAUGGGGAGCGAACAGG
rnacentral:rRNA from 1 species